AUUCCAGCUCCAAUAGCGUAUAUUUAAGUUGCUGCAGUUAAAAAGCUCGUAGUUGGAUUUCGGGCGGUUGACGACGGUCCGCCUCUGGUGUGCACUGCCGUUCUUCCGCCUUUCUGUCGGGGACGUGCUCCUAGGCUUCAUUGUCUGGGACACGGGUUCGACGUGGUUACUUUGAGUAAAUUAGAGUGUUCAAAGCAGGCAUCGCCUUGAAUAUAUUAGCAUGGAAUAGCACGAUAGGACUCUGGCCUAUUUUGCUGGUCUGUAGGACCGGAGUAAUGAUUAAGAGGGACAGUCGGGGGCAUUCGUAUUUCAUUGUCAGAGGUGAAAUUCUUGGAUUUAUGGAAGACAAACUAAUGCGAAAGCAUCUACCAAGGAUGUUUUCAUUG
rnacentral:rRNA from 1 species